GCCGAGGUGGCCAGUGGUUAAAGGCGAUGGACUGCUAAUCCAUUGUGCUUUACCGCGUGGGUUCGAAUCCCAUCCUCGUCC
rnacentral:tRNA from 1 species